rnacentral:rRNA from 1 species
GACGAACGCUGGCGGCGUGCUUAACACAUGCAAGUCGAACGGAAAGGCCCUGCUUGCAGGGUACUCGAGUGGCGAACGGGUGAGUAACACGUGGGUGAUCUGCCCUGCACUUCGGGAUAAGCCUGGGAAACUGGGUCUAAUACCGGAUAGGAGCCAUUUUUAGUGUGAUGGUUGGAAAGUUUUUUCGGUGUAGGAUGAGCUCGCGGCAUAUCAGCUUGUUGGUGGGGUAAUGGCCUACCAAGGCGGCGCAGGGUAGCCGGCCUGAGGGGGUGGACGGCCACAUUGGGACUGAGAUACGGCCCAGGCUCCUACGGGAGGCAGAAGUGGGGAAUAUUGCACAAUGGGCGCAAGCCUGAUGCAGCGACGCCGCGUGGGGGAUGACGGCCUUCGGGUUGUAAACUCCUUUCGCUAGGGACGAAGCUUUUUGUGACGGUACCUAGAUAAGAAGCACCGGCUAACUACGUG